rfam:Sphingobacteriales bacterium SCN 48-20 ABS85_C0083, whole genome shotgun sequence.
AAAAUGGCUCCUUUGGGAGCCAUUUUUAGUAAUAAGUCAAUAGAUA